rnacentral:rRNA from 1 species
GACGAACGCUGGCGGCGUGCUUAACACAUGCAAGUCGAACGGAAAGGCCCUGCUUUUGUGGGGUGCUCGAGUGGCGAACGGGUGAGUAACACGUGAGUAACCUGCCCUUGACUUUGGGAUAACUUCAGGAAACUGGGGCUAAUACCGGAUAGGAGCUCCUGCUGCAUGGUGGGGGUUGGAAAGUUUCGGCGGUGGGGGAUGGACUCGCGGCUUAUCAGCUUGUUGGUGGGGUAGUGGCUUACCAAGGCUUUGACGGGUAGCCGGCCUGAGAGGGUGACCGGCGACAUUGGGACUGAGAUACGGCACAGACGCCUACGGGAGGCAGAAGUGGGGAAUAUUGCACAAUGGGCGGAAGCCUGAUGCAGCAACGCCGCGUGCGGGAUGACGGCCUUCGGGUUGUAAACCGCUUUCGCCUGUAACGAAGCGUGAGUGACGGUAAUGGAUAAAGAAGCAACGGCUAACUACGUG